CAGGGAAUCUUCCGCAAUGGACGAAAGUCUGACGGAGCAACGCCGCGUGAGUGAUGAAGGCUUUCGGGUCGUAAAACUCUGUUGUUAGGGAAGAACAAGUACGAGAGUAACUGCUCGUACCUUGACGGUACCUAACCAGAAAGCCACGGCUAACUACGUG
rnacentral:rRNA from 1 species